CUCCGUGCAUCCUGUGGGCGCUCCGCGGGCAGAGCAGAGCCAGACUUCUCCAGUUUGAAACAAAU
rnacentral:lncRNA from 1 species